rnacentral:rRNA from 1 species
GAUGAACGCUAGCUACAGGCUUAACACAUGCAAGUCGAGGGGCAGCAUGUCGGUUGCUUGCAACCGAUGAUGGCGACCGGCGCACGGGUGAGUAACGCGUAUCCAACCUUCCCCAUAGUAGAGAAUAGCCCGGCGAAAGUCGGAUUAAUGCUCUAUGGUGUCCUUUGCAGACAUCUAACGAGGACUAAAGGUUUACCGGCCAUGGAUGGGGAUGCGUCCGAUUAGGUAGUUGGCGGGGUAACGGCCCACCAAGCCAUCGAUCGGUAGGGGUUCUGAGAGGAAGGUCCCCCACAUUGGAACUGAGACACGGUCCAAACUCC